UAUCUAUUGGAGAUUCAAGGCGUCUAUAAAAAAAAAAAAAUUGUCUCCAAUUUUGGGGGAUUUUCAUACCACUCCAUGACACUGAAAAUUCUUCACAAUUAGUAAAUAAGUUUUGACUAGAGCUGCAACUUAUCAAUUAAUCAACCAAUUAUUUUCAUGAUUAAUUGAAUGUUUUAUCCAUAAAAUGUCAGAAAACACUGAAUUAUACCAGACAAUGAUUUUACAAAUACGUUCAAUUUGCUUGUUUUCAUUGUUCUGCUGUCAUGUGACAAACAAUAGCAACAAAUCCUCUGACUAAUCGAUUAAUCGACGUUUCUCUGUAUCUCUGAGUACUUGUAUGUAAACUUCUGUAUGCAGCACUUGUUUGUCUCUCUCAUGUGGUUUCACUACAUUACCAAUAAGGCACUGAGUGUUUCUGCAGUCCUUAGAUGACAGCAGAGGUCAGCUGAGGUGUCUCACACACAGAGAAGUAAUGAUGGCAGUGACUGAGCCCGGCUGUACCCACCUGCUGCACAUACUGAGGAACCUCUUCCACCUUCUGGAAAGAUGACUCGUUCGGGAAGACUAAGGAGUCAGACAGCAGUCGGUCGCUGCAGGUGGAGUGAGAAGAACAUAUUUGGAGCAUUGUGUGUAGGUUGUGAUCCAGUUCCAUAGAUGCAAGUUCAGCCUAAUGAUCCUCUCUGCAGUAUUUACGACUCCCUGGAGACCCUUUCCAUCAUUUACACCUGUGCUUUUUUUUUUCUCAGAAUGUCCUUUGUGGGCAGGGAAUACUGAAAUUAUGAGUUAUUAUGAUCAUGAAGCUAAAUAAAUAAAUAAAUAAAUAAAAUCUAGUAAGUGGACUUUGA